GACAGACAGGACAGGGACAGGGGGACACGGGGACAUGCAGGGCUGAGGGGGGGCUGGGAGGGGGUGGGGAGGAGGCGCCUACCUUCUGGCAAACCUGAAAGACAGAUUUCUACAAAGACAAACAGAAAGAAGGUGGCGUUGGGGGGCGGCGCUGGGGGGCUGGGGGAGCCACCCCCUCCCCGCAAUGGGGUCACCCCACCUCUCCCCCCCCCCCAGACUGCCCCCGAGUCUCCCAGAAGGAGGUGGGAUCAGCACAGGGAGGGGAUAAUGGGGGAUCAGCACAGGGAGGGGACAAUGGGGGACACAGAGGGGACAAAGGGGGACACAGAGGGGACAAAGGGGGACCCUGGGUGGGGACAGCGGUGGCACAAAUGGGGGAUGAAGACAAGAGGAGCACAGAGGCACCACAGGCAGCCUUGGAGUGAGGAUGAAGGGGACAUGGAGGGGACAAAGGGGGACAUAGAGGGGACAAAGGGGGUCCCUGGGUGGGGAUAGUGGUGGCACAAAUGGGAGAUGACGACAAGAGGAGCACAGAGGCACCUACAGCAGCCUUGGAGUGGGGAUGAAGGGGACAUGGAGGGGAUGAGGAAGACACAGAAGGGACAAAGGGGGACAUGGAGGGAACAAAGGGGGACCCUGGGGUGGGGGCAGCGGUGGCAUAAAUGGGGGAUGACGACAAGAGGAGCACAGAGGCACCUAGAGCAGCCUUGGAGCGGGGAUGAAGCAGACACAGAGGGGAUGUGGGGAACCCCGGGGUGGGGACAGAGGGAGAACACAGAGGGGACGUAGGGAACACGGAGGAGCCACAGAUGGACCCCGGAACGGAGCCGACGGGGGGGGGAACACAGAAGGAAGAGAUGGAAGGAAGAGGAGGAGCCAGGCGCUCACCUGCGCACGAACUUGGAGUGAGUUGGGACCCAGGCUGGCGCGGUCGAGCAGCGGGGAGUUGCGGCUGCGCGUGGUGCCGGUGGAGAGCACGCUGUUCUGUGGGACAGGUGGGGAGAGCAAGGUGAUACCCCAAAAUUGGAGGGGGAGGGAUCCCAAAAUUAACCCAGGGAGGGGNNNNNNNNNNNNNNNNNNNNNNNNNNNNNNNNNNNNNNNNNNNNNNNNNNNNAGUGUCCCAAAACUGGGAGCCAGGUGUCUCGGUGCCCCAGAAUGCAGGACUCGGGUAUCCUGAAACCCCAAACAAACUGGCAAGCCAAAAUAGGAGUUCCAUUGUUACAGAACCCCAAGUUCACCCCCAAAACAAGGGACUCAGGCACCCCAAAACACACAACCCAGGUGUUCCAGCCCCCCAGACAGACCACAGACGGUGAUCACCCCAAAACAAGGGACUCAGGCACCCCCAAAACACACAACCCAGGUGUCCCAGCCCCCCAACCCCAGCUCCAGACUGACUGUGGAUGGUGAUCACCCCAAAACAAGGGACUCAGGCACCCCCAAAACACAUGACCCAGGUGUUCCAGCCCCCCAGACAGACCACAGAUGGUGAUCACCCCAAAACAAGGAACUCAGGCACCCCCAAAAUACACGACCCAGGUGUCCCAGCCACCCAACCCCAGCCCCAGACUGACUGUGGAUGGUGAUAAUCCCAAAACACACGACCCAAGUGUCCCAACCC
rnacentral:lncRNA from 1 species